rnacentral:rRNA from 1 species
GAUGAACGCUGGCGGCGUGCCUAAUACAUGCAAGUCGAGCGAACGGACGUGUAUCUUGCUUCUCUGAUGUUAGCGGCGGACGGGUGAGUAACCCUUGGAUAACCUCCCUAUAAGACUGCGAUAACUUCUGGAAACCGGAGCUAAUACCGGAUAAUGUUUUGAACCCCAUGGUUCAAUAGUGUAAGACGGUCUUGCUGUCACUUCUAUAUCUAUCCGCGCUGCAUUAGCUAGUGGGUAAGGUAACGGCUUACCAAGGCAACGAGGCAUAGCCGACCUGAGAGGGUGAUAGGCCACAGUGGAACUGAGAGACGGGCCAGACUGCUACGGGAGGAAGCAGUAGGGAAUCUUCCGCAAUGGGCGAAAGCAUGACGGAGCAACGCCGCGUGAGUGAUGAAGGUCUUCGGAUCGUAAAACUCUGUUAUUAGGGAAGAACAUAUGUGUAAGUAACUGAGCAAAUCUUGACGGUACCUAAUCAGAAAGCAACGGCUAACUACGUG